rnacentral:rRNA from 1 species
AUUGAACGCUGGCGGCAGGCCUAACACAUGCAAGUCGAGCGGAUGAAGGGAGCUUGCUCCUGGAUUCAGCGGCGGACGGGUGAGUAAUGCCUAGGAAUCUGCCUGGUAGUGGGGGAUAACGUCCGGAAACGGGCGCUAAUACCGCAUACGUCCUGAGGGAGAAAGUGGGGGAUCUUCGGACCUCACGCUCUCAGAUGAACCUAGGUCGGAUUAGCUAGUUGGUGGGGUAAAGGCCUACCAAGGCGACGAUCCGUAACUGGUCUGAGAGGAUGAUCAGUCACACUGGAACUGAGACACGGUCCAGACUCCUACGGGAGGCAGCAGUGGGGAAUAUUGGACAAUGGGCGAAAGCCUUAUCCAGCCAUGCCGCGUGUGUUAAGAAGGUCUUCGGAUUGUAAAGCACUUUAAGUUGGGAGGAAGGGCAGUAAGUUAAUACCUUGCUGUUUUGACGUUACCAACAGAAUAAGCACCGGCUAACUUCGUG